UCUUGAUACUUAACUGCUUGUAAACAAGUAAUUACCUGAAUGUAAGGAAAACAUUCUCCUUCAGUCGGUAGUUUGGCACUGAACCAUCGUUUGUUUACAUCAAGUCUUUAUAUUUGCCUAACACUUUUAUUUCAUUUAAACACAAAAUUAACAUCACCCUUCCAAAAUGCAGAAGAAUAACAAGUGGGAGGCAUUACUAGCUGUUGAUAACAGUCUAUGAAGAUCUGCACUUUCAUCUGCUUAUUCACCACUUACAUUGGCACAAUACUGAGCUGUUUGAGAAGCUAUUUGUCAGCUGUCAUGAAGAAGAAUGCAAUGCAACAGUAACCUGCUCCUUGCUCACAACCUUCCAAGUUAAAGAUGCAAACGACCUGUGCAAUUACAAAUACCUUCACAUGCAAUUAAAGACUGUUUCUAUUCAUGUGCUCUAUUCCCUGCUGUUACCCGAUCACUCUGUUAUGAACUAUUUUCCGACUGGGAAGUGAACAUCAAUUCACCUUUCGUCUGGUGUAGCAGAAAGCUAAUGAGUGUUAUGAACGUCUGUUGUACACAGCCAUGCAGUUUGGGAAGCGUAGCUCCCUGUCUUCUGGCUACUCCUCAGGAAAUGAAAGAAUCUUCCCUGACUGUUUAAAGUGAGUUGCUGCAAGGUAUGCUGCUAGCAUUUAAAAUGUGCAACUUAAAUAUCUGUUCGUUAUUUAUGCUAAAACUGUACCUCUGAGGAAUAUUAUUCAUUUCAUGCUGUCAUCCUUCAUUUUUCUGAACUAUGUAUGUUUAAUUCAAUUCCAAGUUAACCAAAUUUUUCCUCUUUCAAACUAUUCUUAAAACUGUUCAAGAGCAAAAACAGAAUGAAAGAAGAAUGAACAAUUGUCUUGUAAUGACUUAUAUUACACUAAAAUCCCUUAAUACAUAGUACGUAUAAGGGUUUUUUUAAACCCAUCAUGCAAUUUCUUCAUAUAAAUUAAAGAUCAUUCUUGAAAGUACUUGAUGCUAUUUGUGAGUCAUGGACCCAGAGUACAAGAAGUACUCAAUUUCAAGCAAAUAGAAUUCUAGACUUAGGGCUUAUGGGCAAAUUAGCCAUUUUCUUAAGAAAAGUAUCUACUAUGAUACGUGAAAACAGGAAGAACACAGACACACACACAAAAAUAAAAAAUAAAAAAAAUGCCGGUAAGGACAACUACUUGGAAGAGAAAAUUCAGUGAGGUUGAAACUGUGUCUCAAAAGAAGUCAUGUAACCAAUUCAUCUGACUGGUAUUGAGCCUGUUUAGUAGUCUGGUCAUUUGUGUAGUGGGUAAGAUCAGAAACAGAUUCACACUGAACCACCUAUCUCAGAUGUGGUAGCAUAAACCAUUGUAGUGGGUUUACGUGGCAAGGUUUUGGUAGCAGGGGGCCAUAGGGGUGGUUUC